rnacentral:rRNA from 1 species
GCUGAACUUAAGCAUAUCAAUAAGCGGAGGAAAAGAAACCAACAGGGAUUGCCUCAGUAGCGGCGAGUGAAGCGGCAAAAGCUCAGAUUUGAAAUCGUGUUUCGGCACGAGUUGUAGAUUGCAGGUUGGAGUCUUUGUGGAAGCGUGUGUCUAAGUCCCUUGGAACAGGGUGCCAUUGAGGGUGAGAGCCCCGUGAGACGCGUGCGGAAGCUGUAAGGCCCUUCUGACGAGUCGAGUUGUUUGGGAAUGCAGCUCUAAGUGGGUGGUAAAUUCCAUCUAAGGCUAAAUAUUGGCGAGAGACCGAUAGCGAACAAGUACUGUGAAGGAAAGAUGAAAAGCACUUUGAAAAGAGAGUGAAACAGCACGUGAAAUUGUUGAAAGGGAAGGGUAUUGGGCUCGACAUGGGAUUUGCGCACCGCUGCUCCUUGUGGGCGGCGCUCUGUGCUUUUCCUGGGCCAGCAUCGGUUUUUGCCGCAGGAGAAGGCGUGCUGGAAUGUGGCUCUUCGGAGUGUUAUAGCCAGUGCGAGAUGCUGCGUGCGG